rnacentral:rRNA from 1 species
UUGGAGGGCAAGUCUGGUGCCAGCAGCCGCGGUAAUUCCAGCUCCAAUAGCGUAUAUUAAAGUUGUUGCAGUUAAAAAGCUCGUAGUUGAAUUUCGGGAUCAAUUUGCUGGUCGUGCCUUCGGUACGCACUGGUAUUAUUGGUUUCUCCUUUCUGAUGAAUCGCGAUGUCAUUAAUUUGGUGUCGUGGGGAAUCAGGACUGUUACUUUGAAAAAAUUAGAGUGUUUAAAGCAGGCUCGCGCUUGAAUACAUUAGCAUGGAAUAAUGAAAUAGGACGUUUGAUUCUAUUUUGUUGGUUUCUAGGAUUGACGUAAUGAUUAAUAGGGAUAGUUGGGGGCAUUAGUAUUCAAUUGUCAGAGGUGAAAUUCUUGGAUUUAUUGAAGACUAACUACUGCGAAAGCAUUUGCCAAGGAUGUUUUCAUUAAUCAAGAACGAAAGUUAGGGGAUCGAAGACGAUCAGAUACCGUCGUAGUCUUAACCAUAAACUAUGCCGACUAGGGGAUCGGGAUGAUGUUAAUUUUUAAUGACUCAUUC